rnacentral:rRNA from 1 species
GAUGAACGCUGGCGGCGUGCCUAAUACAUGCAAGUCGAGCGAACAGAUGAGGAGCUUGCUCCUCUGACGUUAGCGGCGGACGGGUGAGUAACACGUGGAUAACCUACCUAUAAGACUGGGAUAACUUCGGGAAACCGGAGCUAAUACCGGAUAAUAUAUUGAACCGCAUGGUUCAAUAGUGAAAGACGGUUUUGCUGUCACUUAUAGAUGGAUCCGCGCCGCAUUAGCUAGUUGGUAAGGUAACGGCUUACCAAGGCAACGAUGCGUAGCCGACCUGAGAGGGUGAUCGGCCACACUGGAACUGAGACACGGUCCAGACUCCUACGGGAGGCAGCAGUAGGGAAUCUUCCGCAAUGGGCGAAAGCCUGACGGAGCAACGCCGCGUGAGUGAUUAAGGUCUUCGGAUCGUAAAACGCUGUUAUUAGGGAAGAACAAAUGUGUAAGUAACUAUGCACGUCUUGACGGUACCUAAUCAGAAAGCCACGGCUAACUACGUG